AUCCAUUGCUGUUUUCAGCCCUGAAGAAGAUCUGAAUAUUUUUCUGUUAUUUUUCAGAUCACAGCAUUCAAGCAUGGAUGGAUCAUCUCCAGAGGGAAUUCUUCUCUUCGGAGAAGGCAGUGGAGUGAUCUGUCCCUCCUCCAGAGGGAAUUCUUCUCUUCUCUUCGGAGAAGGCAGUGGAGUGAUCUGUCCCUGGGCAGGAAUUCUCUGCAGUGCCACCCUUUGCUGGGCUGGGUGUGGAAGUGCUGUCGUGGUUUCUGCUGAGCAGGGCUGGUCUGGGGAUGCCCAGCAGGGCCGGGAGCUGCUGCAGCCUGGCAGCUCUGCCUCUGCUGCAGGGCUGCUCCUGUCACCUGUGCCCCACAGCUGCUCUGGCCGCUCCAGAUGUGUUCCAGCAGGGACACAAACGUUGGAAUCUGCAGUCUCUAGAAUGUGAAACUGAACACCAGUAAAAGGUCAGCCCUCAUCCUGCACUUCCCAGAGGGACCACGGUGCUCAUGCAGUGGUGAACGAGGCUCCUGCAGUUCCAGGGUCCUUCAUGCAGAUAUCCCAUGACAUGGUAUGGCAUGA
rnacentral:lncRNA from 12 species